rnacentral:rRNA from 1 species
AUGAACCACUUCGGUGGGGAUUAGUGGCGAACGGGUGAGUAACACGUGGGCAAUCUGCCCUGCACUCUGGGACAAGCCCUGGAAACGGGGUCUAAUACCGGAUACUGAUCAUCUUGGGCAUCCUUGGUGAUCGAAAGCUCCGGCGGUGCAGGAUGAGCCCGCGGCCUAUCAGCUUGUUGGUGAGGUAACGGCUCACCAAGGCGACGACGGGUAGCCGGCCUGAGAGGGCGACCGGCCACACUGGGACUGAGACACGGCCCAGACUCCUACGGGAGGCAGCAGUGGGGAAUAUUGCACAAUGGGCGAAAGCCUGAUGCAGCGACGCCGCGUGAGGGAUGACGGCCUUCGGGUUGUAAACCUCUUUCAGCAGGGAAGAAGCGAAAGUGACGGUACCUGCAGAAGAAGCGCCGGCUAACUACGUGCCAGCAGCCGCGGUAAUACGUAGGGCGCGAGCGUUGUCCGGAAUUAUUGGGCGUAAAGAGCUCGUAGGCGGCUUGUCGCGUCGGUUGUGAAAGCCCGGGGCUUAACCCCGGGUCUGCAGUCGAUACGGGCAGGCUAGAGUUCGGUAGGGGAGAUCGGAAUUCCUGGUGUAGCGGUGAAAUGCGCAGAUAUCAGGAGGAACACCGGUGGCGAAGGCGGAUCUCUGGGCCGAUACUGACGCUGAGGAGCGAAAGCGUGGGGAGCGAACAGGAUUAGAUACCCUGGUAGUCCACGCCGUAAACGGUGGGCACUAGGUGUGGGCGACAUUCCACGUCGUCCGUGCCGCAGCU